rnacentral:pre_miRNA from 1 species
UCUCAUGGAUGAGCAAAGAAAGUGGUUUCUUGAGAUGAAAUCCACUCCUGGUAGAAAUGCCGUGAA